CACUUAUCCCUAAAAUGGACUUAUAAAAUAGAUAGGGAAGAAAUGUUUACUUCCAUUUCACAGAUGAAGAUACUGAGGCUCAGAUGAAAUGGCCACCAGCUCAAGGUCACAUGAUAUUCUAGCUAGAAGAACAAUGGGUCUUCUGAAUUCCACUCUAGAAUUCCUUCCUCUAUAUUGUUGGGAUUAGUGUUUAACUCUCCCAGAUUUGGAUUGUAUGUUUGGUCACUGAUACGUCCCCUCAAGAUAAGUGAAAGCACCUGGUUGCUUCUUGCAGGGGUUCGACACAGAAACCUGCAGGGAGGUAAGAACAAGAAGAGUCAAAGGAGCAAAAGAAGCUACAAGUCUUUAGGAAAGCCAAGGAUCCCUGACCCUCAAGAAGCUAAGUGGAUGAAAGAUCUAGAAAAGAUACUCAUAGAAGAUUGAG
rnacentral:lncRNA from 1 species